GGGGGAUUCACUGUUAUACUUGGAGGCCAUGUCACCUGAGAGUCAAUGGGCAACGAUCAAAUUUCACCUUGAGCAGAUUCUUUUGUUUGCUUUUUAGUCACAAAUAGCUUGGCCCUAAGUGGUGGCUCCCAUUCUUGUAAGAUGCGUUUAUUCAUCGUGUAAUCACCAGUUCCCUGUAGUGGGGGCGUGGAUGGAGUGUCAGAGGCUCCUGCUGGUCUUUAGGGUGUCUGGCCUCCAGGAAUCCUAGAGGUAGUAUUUGGAGAGAUUUUUAAAAGCUUUGUUUCUGUGACCAGCAAAACCUGGAUUUGACACUGAGGUCAGCCCGUUUCAGCCAGUGACGUAACCUGUCUUUUUGCCCCAGUAAAUUGGGAACUACAGCACUCGAUGUUAGAGUUGUCGUGAAGAUUAAAGAAGGUGACGACUGGACAACUCCCAGCCCAAUACCUGAAACUGUACCAGCACCCAGUGAGCACUGCUAUUCCUGUGACUGCUGCACAUUUGCCUUAUCUCAGCAGUAUGCCUGUGUCACUUUUUUGGCACUCUUUUCUCAUGGGUACAUUCAGAGAAGAGGAAUGUUUGUUCACUGGUGAAGAGAACAUCCCGUGUACUAUCGUGUAGAAGUUGUAGUAGACGCUGUGGUCUUUCCAACAACAAACAAACUGCUGGGACAGGACCCAGGAGGUUCCGGAGGAUCAGGAGGUCCACCUGGGAGAAGAGCUGAUCGGCUAGUAGGAGAGCUGGAAAAGCAACAGACACCUACUUAGUCCCUUCCCUGGGGCCCGGCUCCAGUCUGAGCUGUCACGCCACAGCAAAGGCAUCACUUCAGGACAGCAAAGCCCCUGUCUCCCUCCCUUCCAGCUCCUCAGACUUCACCCUGGUAACACGUUUGUUUAAAAAACAUAUUUUUCCCCCUUGUAAAGAAUCUAGGAUACAAGGGGUCAGCCCAGCAGUUUAGGUAUCAAGAAGAAACUGCUCUCGGAGCUAAAGUAAGAAACAGUGCCUGUCUAUAGCGCAAAUAAAGAGUUGGAACAAGAUAAAA
rnacentral:lncRNA from 1 species